rnacentral:rRNA from 1 species
AUUGAACGCUGGCGGCAGGCCUAACACAUGCAAGUCGAACGAGUGGCGGACGGGUGAGUAAUGUCUGGGAAACUGCCCGAUUGAGGGGGAUAACUACUGGAAACGGUAGCUAAUACCGCAUACCAUCGGAUGUGCCCCGAUGGGAUUAGCUAGUAGGUGGGGUAACGGAUCACCUAGGCGACGAUCCCUCGAUGGUCUGAGAGGAUGACCGGCCACACUGGAACUGAGAAACGGUCCAGACUCCUACGGGAGGCAGCGGUGGGGAAUAUUGCACAAUGGGCGCAAGCCUGAUGCAGCCAUGCCGAGUGUAUGAGGAGGGCCUUCGGGUUGUAAAGUACUUUCAGCGGGGAGGCGUUACGCGCAGAAGAAGCACCGGCUAACUCCGUGCCAGCAGCCGCGGUAAUAC